GCAUAACGUCGCAAGACCAAAGAGGGGGACCUUCGGGCCUCUUGCCAUCGGAUGUGCCCAGAUGGGAUUAGCUAGUAGGUGGGGUAACGGCUCACCUAGGCGACGAUCCCUAGCUGGUCUGAGAGGAUGACCAGCCACACUGGAACUGAGACACGGUCCAGACUCCUACGGGAGGCAGCAGUGGGGAAUAUUGCACAAUGGGCGCAAGCCUGAUGCAGCCAUGCCGCGUGUAUGAAGAAGGCCUUCGGGUUGUAAAGUAUUUUCAGCGGGGAGGAAGGCGUUGAGGUUAAUAACCUCGGCAAUUGACGUUACCCGCAGAAGAAGCACCGGCUAACUCCGUGCCAGCAGCCGCGGUAAUACGGAGGGUGCAAGCGUUAAUCGGAAUUACUGGGCGUAAAGCGCACGCAGGCGGUCUGUCAAGUCGGAUGUGAAAUCCCCGGGCUCAACCUGGGAACUGCAUUCGAAACUGGCAGGCUAGAGUCUUGUAGAG
rnacentral:rRNA from 1 species